rnacentral:rRNA from 1 species
CCCUUAGAUGUCCUGGGCCGCACGCGCGCUACACUGAGUGUCUGAGAUACGAGUCUGCCUGGUCCGGCAAGGUCUAGGUAAUCGCUAAAAGACACAUCAUGCUUGGGAUAGAUUAUUGCAAACAUUAAUCUUGAACGAGGAAUUCCUAGUAAGCGCAAGUCAACAGCUUGCGUUGAUUACGUCCCUGCCCUUUGUACACACCGCCCGUCGCUACUACUGAUUGGAUGUUUAAGCGAGGUUCUCGAACUGCUAGCGACUUAGCUUCGGUGAGGUCGCAGUGUGGGAAGUGAACCUAGCUUUGGUGUCUAGAGGAAGUAAAAGUCGUAACA